AUUGUGCCAAUCAGGUGUCCACAUUAAGUUCAGCAUCAAUAUAGUGACCUCCUGGGAGCAGGGGACCACCAGGUUACCUAAGAAGGAGAGAACUGGCCCAGGUCAGAAACAGAGCAAGUCAAAAUACAGGCGCUGAUCAGUCGCAAGAUAGUGCCUAUGAACAGCCACUACACUCCAGCCUGGGCAACAUAGCAAUGCACGUCUCUAAUUUUAAAAAUAAAAUAAAAAUAUAAUGUCAUUUUCUGGAUUUUGUGAUAUUUGUAGUGUGAACCCAGAAAAUUUGUGACAGGUCUCAGUUAAUUUAGAAAGUUUAUUUUCCAAGGUUGAGGACGUGUCCCCACGACACAGCCUUCGGAGGGCCUGACAACAUAUGUCCAAGGUGGUCAGAACACAGUUUGGUUUUAUACAUUCUAGGGAGACACGGGACAUCAAUCAACAUAUGGAAAAUGAACA
rnacentral:lncRNA from 10 species